rnacentral:RNase_P_RNA from 1 species
UCAGUCGGCCGGACGGCCGCUCCGGCAAGCGCCGAAAGGCCGCCGGGGAGGAAAGUCCGGGCUCCAUCGACAUACGGUGCCGGAUAACGUCCGGCGGGGGCGACCCCAGGGAAAGUGCCACAGAGAACGAACCGCCCGCCUACGCCCCUUCGGGGCUUCGGUGCGACAAGCUCUCGAGCCUGCCGCGCCAUAGCAGCGCAAGCUGCGACGGCGGGUAAGGGUGAAAAGGUGCGGUAAGAGCGCACCGCGUCGCCGGCAACGGGGACGGCAUGGUAAACCCCACCGGGAGCAAAACCGAAUAGGGACGGCAUCGCGGAUAGUUUGCUGCUUGCAGCAAUAACUCCGCAGGGCGAUGUCAGGCUCGUCGUCCGGGUAGGUUGCUCGAGGCGCUGUGCAAACAGUGUCCCAGAGGAAUGGCCGUCGCGUAUCGCCUCCGCAAGGAAGCGGUGCCCUCCAGAACCCGGCUUACAGGCCGGCUGAUACU